CUCGGCCUGUAAGUCAGACCUAUUUAUAUGUAACAUUAUGUUUUAGAAAAUCUUCGCUGUAACGCUAUACCAGUGUCAUGAAGCUUUCCACUCAUAAGCUAUAACGUAAAUAAUUCUUUUCUGGCUACAUACGCAUUUUUGCGAAUUAUUUAAAAAAUAUUGGAGACUCUCAUGUCUAAAUCAACUGGUAUCGUUAAGUGGUUUAACGAAGAAAAAGGUUUCGGUUUCAUCACUCAAGACAACGGCGGCGCUGACGUAUUCGUUCACUUCCGUGCUAUCACAGGCGAAGGCUUCAAGACUCUUGCUGAAGGUCAAAAGGUUUCUUUUGAUAUCGAACAAGGUCAAAAAGGCCCUCAAGCUGCUAACGUUGAAAAAGCUUAAUUCUUUUUUGCGUUAAAUGUUUGAAAAAUGCCGACGUUAUGUCGGCAUUUUUAUA
rnacentral:sRNA from 1 species